AGCAGCCGCGGUAAUUCCAGCUCCAAUAGCGUAUAUUAAAGUUGUUGCAGUUAAAAAGCUCGUAGUUGAAUUUCGGGGUUCAUACGUUGGUCGGGCUAUUUGGUCUGUACUUAUGUAAUGGAUUCCUACCUUCUGAAUAACCGGCAUGCCAUUAAUUUGGUGCGCCGGGGAAGCAGGACUGUUACCUUGAAAAAUUAGAGUGCUUAAAGCAGGCUAUCGCCUGAAUACAUUAGCAUGGAAUAAUGAAAUAGGACGGCAUGGUUCUAUUUUGUUGGUUUCAGGAUCACCGUAAUGAUUAAUAGGGAUAGUUGGGGGCAUUAGUAUUCAAUUGUCAGAGGUGAAAUUCUUGGA
rnacentral:rRNA from 1 species